rnacentral:rRNA from 1 species
AGUCUAACAUGUGCGCGAGUCAUUGGGACAUUGAAACCUAAAGGCGCAAUGAAAGUAAAGGUCGUACCUUGCGUCGACCAAGGGAGGAUGGGCCGCGUCACGAUGCGGCCUCGCACUCCCGGGGCGUCUCGUUCUCAUUGCGAGAAGAGGCGCACCCAGAGCGUACACGUUGGGACCCGAAAGAUGGUGAACUAUGCCUGGUCAGGACGAAGUCAGGGGAAACCCUGAUGGAGGUCCGUAGCGAUUCUGACGUGCAAAUCGAUCGUCGGAACUGGGUAUAGGGGCGAAAGACUAAUCGAACCAUCUAGUAGCUGGUUCCCUCCGAAGUUUCCCUCAGGAUAGCUGGCACUCGCUCGUUCCUCUUUGCGAACGCGUGCGAGUCUCAUCUGGUAAAGCGAAUGAUUAGAGGCCUUGGGGCCGAAACGACCUCAACCUAUUCUCAAACUUUAAAUGGGUGAGAUCUCUGGCUUGCUUGGAUCAAUGAAGCCACGAGAUUUUGGAUCAGAGUGCCAAGUGGGCCAAUUUUGGUAAGCAGAACUG